CAUUGCCUAUGAUGAAUUUAGUUAUCCCUGUCUUACUUUAACUUAGAUGGUGAGUUAUUUAAUCUGAGGCAAUG